UCAUCAACCAAGCAGAAGACAGAAGAAUUAAUGUUUCAGUUAACCAAAAAAAAAUUCCUUUUCUCCACAAUUAUGAUGAAUCUCAAACCACAACUGCUAUUAUUAAUUAUUCAAAAAGAAAACAAAUAAAAGCAACAGAGCAGAGAAACAAGUCGAGCUCAUUCACAUUAAAGCACCAAUCUUUCCCCCAAAAAAUUCAAAAAAGUGUUAAAUGGAUAAAAAUUAAAAGUACCCACCAACCAAAGAUAUGCAACGAAUAGAAAACUUUACUGAAACUUACCCAACUGAGAGACUUCAUUAUGGAAGGGCGAUGCAGAUGACUGCUGUCUUGCCAUCUGAGGUUGACCUGAUGGUGCUUGUCCAGGAUAUGAAGAUGACUGCUGCCUUGCCAUCUGAGGUUGACCAGAUGGUGCUUGUCCAGGAUAUGAAGAUGACUGCUGCCUUGCCAUCUGAGGUUGACCUAAUGGUGCUUGUCCAGGAAAUGAAGGUGACUGCUCUCUUGCCAUCUGAGGCUGACCUGAUGAUGGUUCUUGUCCAGGAAAUGAAGAUGGAUGCUGUCUUGCCAUUGGAGGUUGACCUGAUGAUGCUUGUCCAGGAAAUGAAGAUGAUUGAUCUCUUGCCAUUUGAGGAUGUCCCCACGGCAUUCUAGGUUGUCUUUGUGUAUAAAGAGGUCCUGAAGUGUUCCUCCACCUAUUUUCAUCCAAGACUAUCCCAAUUUCUUGACU
rnacentral:lncRNA from 1 species